rnacentral:lncRNA from 1 species
CCAAUCAUUUUCGAAACGGAUUUGUGAUAAAAUGUCCAUCAUCUCUGAAAUGGCAGAGGUGGUUGGUAAGAGCCUGCCAGAGAGAACAGGCUUUCCAAGAAAUAACCAUCUGAAAAUACUUGGCUCCCAGGAGGACAGGUUAUUUAAAAUAGUGCUUUACUGGACAUUUAAAACACAUCAAACCGCUUUCUCAUUUAAAUUGUCACCUCCUGACAUUUCCGGGGAUCCCAAAUUUGGAAGGAAAAACCUAGCAUGGUGUUUCUUGUGGUUGUCCUCUCAAGCACAUUUGAUCCAGGGUUCAGAGUUCGAUGUAUAGAGAAAGAGUGUUUCUAAGCCAUUGACAAUUUUCUUUAUUUCAAGUUGUGCUUCUUUCUCCUACCACAUGGCUGUAAGUCAAAGAUGUGGAAACAUGAAAUUAUGAUGCUUCUCCUAGCUACUGGCCUCCUGCCCCACUAAUGGUUAAUUGGCCCAGCUUAAAGCCUGGUGGUGAUGAGUACUAUGUCCAGAAAAAGAAAUGUUCAGAUUCCGUGACAAAGCUGCAUUUUAUAAAAAUAUCGGAGACCCCAAAAUGAACUUCAUGCUGACCAUUUCCUUCUCCCUUCUAUGUGCUUUCCCUUGCAAAGCCCUUCAAAUCCCCUGUCUCCUCCCCUCCUGCACCUCUUGUGCCCUUUUUACAUCUUAGAUUGCCUGAUUAUAACAGGGUAAAAAGAAAGCCAACCUCACGCACGAUUUGCAGAACUGAUUCCUACUUUUAAAAAAUCUUCUUUGAAUCCAGAAGCCAGAGAAGAUUUUUUUAGGGGCUUUAGUUUGGGAUAAAGCUUCCAGAUUAGCCAUGUCUAUUUGCAUCAAAGGGGAAAUAAAUGGGACUUUCAGGGCAGCUCACCUAGUGCAUUCAGAACAUUCCGCCCAUAGCCCCCAAGCCUGAAUUUGAUGGCAAAGUCAAAAGAAAUUAACUCAACCGGCAACAAUGACAACAUCUUAGUGAUCAGUUUCAUUGGUUCAAAGUGAUUUCCUCGAUGGAAGUCGCUUCAUAAAAUAUAAAAUACAGUGCACAGUGCUUUUGUCCUCUCUUUUGCAUGAGUUUGGUUUUAGGAGAAGGAAGAAGGUAGGGAAAGUCAGAGAGAUGCAACGUAUUUAACUGCAAAAAGCAGGUUCAUUCUUUCUUUCUUUUUAAAAGAUCUGACGAGGGCCGGCAUUUCUGGCCAUAAUUUUGCACCCGGAUCUUUGCCAAAGUGAAAAUUCGUUAAGUGGAACCUGUUUGAAAUGUACUUGUGGAAGCUUUCCCUGGCAUCUUCCAGAAGUGGCCACCUGCCAAGCGUGGGGUGGGGGCAGGAGGAGAGAAUUCGAAUUCUGAGUCUGGGUUACAUUUCGGUAAACAUGGUGAUAUCUCAGUUUGGAAAACUAGUGGGGCUGGCCUGAGCGUCCAUCAAUGCCUCUUUGAUGGCCUACUUUCCUCAGUGAGGAUCUUUGGGAAUACUUGAGAUAGAACAACAAAAAUGUGUCCAAGGAAACAAAAACUGCUUGUAAAUGUGAGAUCCUGUGACUAAUGGCCUGAGGCUUCAGGGUUUUCUCUUGCUUUUAACACUCUUACGUCCCCUCUGCUGGUUCCUAAUAGAUCCCGGAAGGAACAGGGGGAAAAUCAAGCUGCAAUUCACUUUCUUAUGCGCGCCCUUCCAAUAGAGUACUGUAUUCUUCAGGUGUUUUGCAUUUGCGUUUGUAAGUCCUCGGGAAACAGGUAUCAGAAAAUGGGAGAGCGAAAUCCUGGGCCAUCACUUCACUAAUAUCCCAAACCAGAUACUCUUUUCAAACAGGGCUCCCUCUCAGCGGUCAUGAGGGAAGGGUGAUAACGUUCUUUGUUGGGGACUGUUUAUACAAUUUUUUUCAACUGUAAGCUUUGGAAUCGUAAAUUGCUUUGACUCCAGCUUCUGUCUACUGCCAUAAAAUGGACCCCACGUCAGAAUAAUGAGGGUGGUAUGUGUGCACAUGCCAUGCACGUGUGCAGAUGUACCUAUUGUACCUUCGCAGAAGGAAAACAGGCUACUGAUGUUUAAGAGGAGUAGCCACCAGUGCCUAAUAUCUUUUGGGGGGGAUGGAUGCUUAUAAUGCCAGUAUAUUGAAACCACACUGGGAGUUCCACAUGGAGGGGAGGGGCGGAGGGUGGGGAGAGGGGACAUUUUAAUCCUAGGCCUUUGGACUGGAGGCAGAAUGAUUUCUGCAAAUCUAGCUCCUGAAAGGCUUUGGGGCUCAUUGGCUGGUUCUCAAACUUUUGAUUUGAUUUUAGUUUUUUCCAGCAUGCAUUUCCUAUCUAAACCCAGACUUGGUUUAAUUUCCUUAUCUUUCACUUCUGCUUCAUUCCAGGGAGGAAAAAUACACCUAUUAUGGCCAAGAUCUCCUUGCUAACACAGAGGCAAAAAUAAAUGUUUAAUGUUUUUGCAGCCUCCCCUUCCUUUCCGUAAAUACCCCCCAAACCCCCUUCUCUCUCAUCACUCUGUCCCCAUUCCCGCCACACAACUCCCCAGCCACCACCACUUUGCUUUCCAGUCUCUAUUCUCCUCUUAACAGUUGCUUGAAGAAAUUUGUUUUUGCACUAUACAUUUUCUUUUUGCCAGAUGUGUCUAACAAGUGUGUUCGGAGAGACCUCCUCCCAGUCCCCUCCCCUCCCCCGCCUCCCCCGGUCACAUUCUCUCAGGCCUUCUCUGGUAUUUAUAAUAUAUCACAGAAGUACCCAGUCUUAUAGCCCUCGGUUAUGCCUUUUUUUGACAUUUUAUUUUUUUUAAGCUUUUUAUAUAUAUAUAUAAAUAUAUUACUUUGUCAAGUUUUUUUGCUGUACAAAAGUCUUAAGAUUUAAAACUAUUAUUUGUAUUAUAUGAUGGUGGUAUGUUAAUGUUACAAAAUUAUUAAUGAAGAAAAAAUUUAUUUUUGUUACUGGUCUGUUUCAUAAUUCUUUUUUAAAUUGGUAUAUUGUAAGAUAUCUAUGCAAAAAAUGUUAUGUGACGCAUUUUUAUUUAAGAAUGUAAUAUGUGUAAUAAACAGUAGAAUGUG